rnacentral:lncRNA from 1 species
GUGGAGUGAGGGAGGAGGUGGAUGGUGAGUGUAGAGAAGAGAAGGUCUCUCUCUGUUGUCACCCUCGGCCCCCUUCAUUGAGGAGGAACAAUGGCCAGGCCUGGAGUUCUUCCUGAAAGAGAAACUGCAGGAAGGCAGAGUUGCUCUUUGUACCCCAGCCCCUUUAGAGGAGGGGGAGUCAUACAUAGGAUCCCCCUGACCAUUGGGCGGUGUCCGGGAGAUCAGAACCCCUCAGAUACUCUGGGAGCUAAAAAGGCGCCGGCCUUGUCCUCCCAGAAGGCCUACGCAGCCGCUGAAAGAAACCCAAGCAAAACCCAGCGACCUCAAAAUUCGCCAGGGGAUAAGGGGGAGAGGAAAACCACUCACUCUCACAUGCCCUGUCAGUCCCCCCACGCCACCAUCCCAAUGUCUGAUCAGGCUUGAUUCUGCUGACGUGUGUAUUUCAGAUUAAGGAUGUAUUUAUUUAUUUAUUUAUUAAUCCUUCAGAUCUUCCCACCCCAUAAAAGAGACUUAAUUCCUUUCCAGGGCGACGGGUUGAUAAAAAGACUCCAUUUUAAAGCAAUGGGGGAUCAUAUGACUGUGACCUUGACGUGCGAAAGGGGGGAGGGGCAGGUAGUUUGGGGCCCAGACCUUAGGCUUCUGCAAUUCUGGGGCGUUCUAGGCUCUUGAUAAGAACAUCAACAAGAGGGAUUUAUUUUCAAAGGUUACCAUUAGCAGUUCAUUCACUAAAGUUGAGAAUUCGGUAUUUUUAUAUUACGUGAAAUACAUGAUUUAAUUAUACUCCAAAAACAAAUUAAGGACAGGCCUUCUACACAAAUUGGAGGCAGCUAAAUGCUCUUUUGUGCCUGCAGCCCUCGGGUUGUUAAAGAGGCUGCUGAUGCAUGAGAAGUUACAAGAUUCUUGUUUUCGUUCCUUCUCACCGGUGGAAAAUGUGUAAAAUCAAAGAUGUAGAGGUGUGUAGUGAUUUUUUCAAAAGCCAACUAACCCACCGCACGGGCUGCGACGCGGAUUACCCGAGCGCACGCCGGCUGGGCGCAUUCUGGGGUCUCUGCGCAAGACCAGCUCUCAGCUCUCUCUCCUUUCCUCGGACUCUGGAGCGGGAGCGGGCCUUUCCCUCGGGCCGACCACGCCGUAGGGGACGCCAUGAAAAGAGCCGUCGCGCCCGCUGCCUCCUGCCCGCUGCGCAGAGGGCUCCGCCCGUAGAGCAAACUCGUAGCCAGACCAGAUGGGCCGCCCAGCUCUCUCGGGACUAGGCAGAUUUCAUCCCUGACAGCAGAAAAUGAUUGGCAACGAUUCUGACGGAGAACAUGCAAUGGCGUGGUCCUUAAAAACCUGCCAUUCCUUACAAGCGCCUUAGAAAGGAUUCAGGGCGGACCAACUGGGUUAAUUGCAUUCAGUAAAAUAACACUAUUACAAAAUUAGAUCUGUACCAGAGGGGUAAUUAACUUGGAUCCACGCCGUCAUUUGAAAACUAGAUUUAUAGGCGUAUGUAUGUUUUUAGGCGUGUGCUGUAAAUGGCAUGGAGAUAUAUGCAUAUGCAUACGCAGACACACGCACUCGUCUACACUUCCACGGAACAGACUAAUUAACAGUGGCUCUGGCAGAUGUGUCAGAGAUGAGCAGAGACAGGAGCUGGGCUUAUGAGUUAUGACUCUGGGAGUAGAGACUCAGAGCCGGGGGCGGGGGGGCGGGGGGAUGGGCAGGGAGAGAAGAGUGGUAGUCGCAGUGGGUCUGAUACUUUCCGGAUCAAGAUCAGAGGCUCUGCCCUCCGUGUUCACAGCGGACCUUGAUUUAAUGUCAUACAAUUAAGGCACGCGGUGAAUGCCAAGAGCGGAGCCUACGGCUGCACUUGAAAGACACCAAAGCAUCUCAGGGUCAGAAAGGGGAAAAGGCAAUUGCAAGGAAUUUAGGGGGUGGUAGGAUGAACCCAUCACUUGCCGCAUAAAUGUCCCCCUACCCCCACCCCGGACUGAUUCUCGAAGCAAACUAGUGUUCGAAAGGGAAAGGCUCUUACUUUUCCAUUAGAGCCGCGGAAAUCCGCAGGCAAAUCUCCGAGGAGAAUUUUAGGGAAGCUUCAUUGACAGCUGUCAGGAGAGCAGUAGUUCCCGUCCGUGCAAAUAUUCCAGAGAGUUAAAGCAUUUAGAAAGCACUGGUUCUUUUAAGAACGGAGUGUGAUUGUCUGCAGUCCUGGGCCAAGCUGGGAAAACAAAACGGAAGAGAGACGUGUAACAUUUAACAGGGUCCUGACCACACUGCGCAAGAAACCGCAAAUGAAAGGUCCAAACUUUGGAAAGAUCUGAAGAACACCUGCCGCCCGCAUUUCCCCUUGACUUCUCCCUUUCUCUUCCCAAUCUCGAGGCGUCCAUGCUUGGCUUUAAAAGGCCAAGAUAACUCUCUUGUUUUGGCAUUGUCGUAAUGUCCAAAUCGGCCAAAGGAGUGGGAUAAGGGGAAAGGAUCAGGUCAGAAACUUUAGAAGGACUAGGUAAAUUAAUUUAUUUGGAAGCCAGUGAGGUGGACUAUGUUGAGGUAGUAGUUCCACACCACGACUUUGGAGCCAAAGAAAAGCCCAGGCCGAAAAAGCAAGCCUUGAUGUCUUUGUUCUGCCUUGGCCUGCAGGGGCUGGGAACAAAGGACAGGGGCUAAGAGGAUGCACCAAAGUAGCCGCGCCCUCCUUGCCUGGCGCUGUCCGCGGUGCUGACCGUGACCCUUUUCUCUCUCUGUAAUCAAACUGGAAAAGCAAUAGGACCGUCCGGUCCCUACUC